UACGUAGGGCGCAAGCGUUGUCCGGAAUUAUUGGGCGUAAAGAGCUCGUAGGCGGUCUGUUACGUCCGCUGUGAAAACCCAGGGCUUAACCCUGGGCUUGCAGUGGAUACGGGUAGACUAGAGGCAGGUAGGGGGAGAAUGGAAUUCCCGGUGUAGCGGUGAAAUGCGCAGAUAUCGGGAGGAACACCGGUGGCGAAGGCGGUUCUCUGGGCCUGACCUGACGCUGAGGAGCGAAAGCGUGGGGAGCAAACAGG
rnacentral:rRNA from 1 species